rnacentral:tRNA from 1 species
CCUUCGAUAGCUCAGUCUGUAGAGCGGUGGACUGUAGAUCCAUAGGUCGCUGGUUCAAAUCUGGCUCGAAGGA